GGCAGUUUAGCUUAAUGGUAAAGCACUUGACACGUAAUUACAGGGAUGUGAGUUCAUGUCUCAUGGCUGGCA
rfam:Octopus bimaculoides Scaffold48944_contig_88, whole genome shotgun sequence.